rnacentral:tRNA from 1 species
GCUAGAAUGGCUCAGUCGGUAGAGCGACGCACUCGUAAUGCGUAGGUCGCGGGUUCGAUUCCCGCUUCCAGCU